GGUCUUCUCACCAGGAUGGAGGACCACACAGUGCAUUCCCCGCCCUGAGAUGUCCUUUCCUUAGGGCAUUUUCUGAUUUAUUUCUUUUUUGCAAGUUUGACUUUCUUUACCCACUUCUCUAAGAUCUUCCAUCAGCUGGGAAACCAUGCAUGAUAAAUGCUGCCUUUUCCAGGGAUCACAUGGACAUUCCAUUUACAAGAAUUCCCCAACUGAAGCUAGAAGAGUAGAAUUUUGACAUCCUGAUUGUAACACAUCUGUACGUGACAAGAACAAUCAAGAGACUCAAACCAGAGACCAUCUACCCUGGUUUUAGUUUGGGUUUGAAUGAUGAAAAAUGAGAACUUCCCCACCCCCACCCCCCAAAACCCAUGAAACUCAGUUUUGUUAAAACAUCUUUGUUCACAUGUGAAUAAAUCUAGGCAAGAAUGCAAAAGGGGCA
rnacentral:lncRNA from 1 species